rnacentral:lncRNA from 1 species
GAGCAGGGUGACUGCUGGGACAUGAUUGUCACAUGCUUCUGGUGCUUAGGCCAAAGAAAGAGCGUUCUAGUGCCAAAGCAUGUAAGUGCUAAGCGGUUUCUUCUUAUCCCCAUGAUGCACAUCCAUCAAUAGAGCAAAUUAGUAUAAGAGUGUGAAGAAAACCAGUUGCUUUUCCUUAAUGGGAAUGGAAACGAUGAAAGCCAGGGUCUGGUGAUGAAUUUGCCUAAUUAUAUUCACGUGUACCGAGGUCGCCGUUUCUCUCUGGAAACUGGGGGUUGACGAAUGGCUGUAAUUGGUUUCUGAAAACUGGUAAGAGAAACUAUUAAGAUAAAGCUUCCAGGGCUGGGUGUGGUGGCGCACGCCUUUAAUCCCAGCACUCGGGAGGCAGAGGCAGGUGGAUCUCUGAGUUCGAGGCCUGCCUGGUCUACAGAGUGAGUUCCAGGACAGCUAGGGCUACACAGAGAAACCCUGUCUCAAAAAAAAAAAAAAAAAAAAAAAAAAAAAAAAAAAGUAAAAAGGUACUGCUGCCACUAACAGUGUCCAGGAUAUAUAUGCUAAGGAUGGGAGUAGCUCAGUGGCUUGUCUCUCAAGCAGAUUAUGAUGGUGUUGAUUCUAUUAAAUGCACUGCAGCCUUACACAGCAAUAUGGAAGGCUUACAGGUGAAAACGCCGAGGGAUGGUCCUAGUGACCUUGGGUUAGCUCUCCCAUGUACUGCCUCGUGAUGCUAUUCUUGAUUGCUAUGCCCAGGUGACAAUGUUACUGAAUUACUGCUGCCCUUCUCUUUCUUGCUCUCAGUCCUGUAAUUGUGGGCGGAUAUACAGUCUUCAUUAAAUUCAAGCGGUGUGUGUAUCCCUAUUCAGAGGGCUGACUCUGUAAGCCACCCUCUUUUUGCAGUGCUGGCUUUUGCAGAGCUGUCUGGGGUCCUGCCCCACUGAUCUACCUCUUCAGACAGGGGUUCUAGUCUUAGCAAUGCUACUAUAAAUGUCACACCAAGUUCUGACAUUAUUUAGUUCAGCAAAAGCAUUUCAGAGCCCAGCUGUAGGCCUUCUAGGAGCUCCUUGGUCUACCUAAACAUCCUUGACUCAUUUUGAAGAUGUGGCUGUUAGUCCUGACUACCUCAAAAGUCUAUGAUGACUAUGGAAUGAGAUCAUUUAUAAAAACCUAGCGUGAGAACACUCGAGCUGAGAGAUGUUAGGACUGCUGUUGUAAUUAGUAUUUUCUCAACCAUCAUUGUCUAGUUAUCUUUCCUCGAUGAAAAAUACCCUCACCCCUU